rnacentral:rRNA from 1 species
UACGGAGGUGGCAAGCGUUGCUCGGAAUCACUGGGCGUAAAGGGCGCGUAGGCGGGGAGGUAAGUCGGGUGUGAAAUCCCUCGGCCCAACCGAGGAACUGCGCCCGAGACUGCUUCUCUUGAGUCCCGGAGAGGAAGAUGGAAUUCCCGGUGUAGCGGUGAAAUGUGUAGAGAUCGGGAGGAACACCGGUGGCGAAGGCGGCGUUCUGGACUGUUUCUGACACUGAAAAACGAAAGCCAGGGGAGCAAACGGG